AUGAUUAUUAGAGCAGUAGUGAUUAGUUUAGUUUUGGCCUUGGGGAUGGUCACGAACGUGGAUGCAUCCCCAUGCAUUGCAAUGUGUCUGUCAUCCCCCCCGAGCCAAUUCAUCCAGAGGAAGACAAGAACACUACCUACCUCAAGGGAAGUCACUGGCAAGAUGAUCCGUUCGCUACUCGCCGCCCCCAUGUUGCCGCGGCCAGGCACCCCAACAGAAGGUGUCGGCGGCCGAGGUGGGGUCAUCCACCCUCCCGAGAGAGUUGAUGUGUCCGGUGGAAAGAGCGGCAUCUCCAAGGCAAGGCGCCUAGCUAAGGAGCCAUAG
rnacentral:rRNA from 1 species